rnacentral:rRNA from 1 species
AUUGAACGCUGGCGGCAUGCCUUACACAUGCAAGUCGAACGGCAGCACGGUUGCUUGCACCUGGUGGCGAGUGGCGAAGGGGUGCGUAAUAGAUCGGAACCUGUCCUGACGUGGGGGAUAGCCCGGCGAAAGGCGGAUUAAUACUGCAUACGCUCUACGGAUGCAAGUGGGGGACCUUCGUGUUUCGCGCUAUCGGGUUGGCCGAUGUCUGAUUAGCUAGUUGGUGGGGUAAAGGCCUACCAAGGCGACGAUCAGUAGCUGGUCUGAGAGGAUGACCAGCCACACUGGAACUGAGACACGGCCCAGACUCCUACGGGAGGCAGCAGUGGGGAAUUUUGGACAAUGGGCGAAAGCCUGAUCCAGCCAUGCCGCGUGUGUGAAGAAGGCCUUCGGGUUGUAAAGCACUUUUGUCCGGAAAGAAAAGCUUGGGCCUAAUACGGUCGGGGGAUGACGGUACCGGAAGAAUAAGCACCGGCUAACUACGUG